AUGCAGGUUUGUUGCUAAGGUUGAGGAUACCUCUGCGUUAGGAGUAUGUAAUAAUUUACUGUACGUUAGGUUAGAUUAGGGAGACUUCCUGUGUUAAAACUGUCUUUAAAUAUUUAUGGUUUAAUAAGUAAUUACAUUAUCCCCAAUCUAUCUCGCAAGCRGCCCGACUGUUUAUUAAAAACAUUGUGAUAUAGAGGUAUAUAUGAUAUAGCCUGCCCAGUGCUGUAAAAAGGUAAAUGGCCGCAGUAUUAUGACUGUGCAAAGGUAGCAUAAUUAAUUGCCCUAUAAUUGAGGGCUUGUUUGAAUGGCUGAACGUGGCUGUGGCAUGAGAUUGGUGAUUUGGUUGAAUUUAAUAUUAUGGGUGCUGAAUCCAUGAUUUGUUAAUAAGACGGAAAGACCCCGGAAUCUUUCGGUUUUGUCUGGGGCAGAUUCGGGGAUUUACCCGAUUUUAGACCCGCGGGUUAAAGGUUUAAGUUACUCCGGGGAUAACAGAGUAAUUGUUUAGGAGAGGUCUUAUCGAUUAAACAGUUUGCUACCUNGAUGUUGACUUGGGUG
rnacentral:rRNA from 1 species